rnacentral:rRNA from 1 species
UACGUAGGGGGGCAAGCGUUGUCCGGAAUUACUGGGCGUAAAGAGCUCGUAGGUGGUUUGUCGCGUUGUUCGUGAAAACUCACAGCUUAACUGUGGGCGUGCGGGCGAUACGGGCAGACUUGAGUACUGCAGGGGAGACUGGAAUUCCUGGUGUAGCGGUGAAAUGCGCAGAUAUCAGGAGGAACACCGAUGGCGAAGGCAGGUCUCUGGGCCGAUACUGACGCUGAGGAGCGAAAGCGUGGGGAGCGAACAGG